rnacentral:lncRNA from 1 species
UCAUUACCGGUGACGAUGAUCGGAACACGUGGGUUCUCCUCCUUGUUGUACAUACCAGGGAGUUGCACGUUGGUCGGGUUAUCGGCAAUGUUCAUUAGUGUGGCAUUAACCAUCUGGUUGUUGACGGUGUAUUGGGUGGUGCCUCCCAUUCGACCAGCGCCAGCAUCGAGAUCGUUAAUGAAGAGGCAGCACAUUUUCCCCUUCUUGAUAAUAUCAGCUGCUUCACGGUACCUUUGCCUAAUGAGCUUAGCAGGCUCUCCUGCAUUUCCACUUUCCAAUUCUCCAGCACUCAUCAUAAUUGGGCUGUAUCAUAGCCAUUAAUUUUAAGAUUAAAACCUGAUUAAUGUAAAUUUGGAACAUGAUCAAUCAUGGAAUAUGAACUCACUUAAUUCCCAUCUUAGCAAAGACAAGCUCACACUGGAAUGAUUUACCCUGACCUUUGCCUCCCCAAAUACCCAAGAUAAGAGGAACCUGUAAAACAAAGGGUUCCAUUAAGUAAGAUGGACUGUACAGUACUGAUUAGUUAUAAUGAAUGACAAGUAAUUGUCGAGUCUUGUCUUGUCUGAUACUGGGUAAUGAACAUGGUCGUAAGAUGAACAAAAUAAUUGCCUUAAGUCGAGUUUUCUUAUAACAAUGGAUUUAAUGAAGGAUAUGUAACCUUGAUGUUCGGCAAGGUCAUAAAGUUUUUGCUGAUGUGAACAAUAAGCUUGUCCAUGAAGGCAGGAGCAAUAUAUAAUCCAUCCAUGGUAUUAUCAAAGUUGUAUCUGCAGCAUCAAUAACAUCGGAUUAUGAUCAAAUUCAAGAACUGAUAAAUUUUGAAGAAGAUUUGAA